AUAGAGUUACCAUAGUAACGAUUAGCAAAAAAAAUUUUGUUUUCUUUUGUUUUGAAUUUUAUUUUAAUUCAAUUGUGUUGAUUUAAUUGUCGUUCUAAUCGCAAUCAUGCCGACUUAUGAAGUUUUUUUUACUGUUAAACGAUUAGCGAAGCCUGAUUUGGUAUCAUGUUUAAAGCGUGUUGGUGAAUUUUUACUGGACAAUCAUGGAGUUUUAAGGAAAAUCGAAUAUCUUGGAACAAACAAAUUCCCAUAUCGAAUGAGUAAAUCAGGAUCUAAAACUCCUGGUCUUCAUGACUCUGGAAGCUACUUCCUGUAUCACUGUGAUCUUCCAUAUUCUUCACGAGAUUUUAUCAGAAAUUCUCUUCGUUUGGAUCAUGAUUUGGUUCGAGUAUCAUUACAUUCAAAAGAAACCGCAAUCCCUGAGAAUUAUGAAUGCAAAUUGGCAGAUGAAAUAUUACCACCAUCUUAUCGUGAAAGUGUUCAGAAUUUAAUUUCCGAAGGUCGUAGAAAUAAAAACAAAAUAGAUUUAGGACCUGAUGCAGAGAAAUGGUAGUUUAAACUGUAACCAAUCAAACAAACAAAAAUGUAACUUGUUAGAUUAACUAGUCUUUCAUACAAUUUAAGAUGAAAGAAAAGACACAAUUUAGGAUAAAUUAAUUCCUCAAAUCAUAACAAUCAUCAUCAUAAUCAUUUGGCAAUCAUUUCGAUACAUCAACAAACAAAGAAAAAUACAAAACUGUGUAUGAAAAGGCUGAUUAAUUGUACCAAACAUAAUCAACGAGGUUUGUGUUUUAUUAGUAGUAUUUAGAUUGUUGCUUUUUAAUUCUGUUCAGUUGAUGCCAAAUUUUUUCUCGAGAUUUUAAAUAGUAUGAGAGAGAGAGAGAAAAUUGAUGAUGAUGAUAAUGAUGAUAGCCCAAGACUCAUUUAACAUGGAGGUAAAGAAGAGAGAGAGAGAGAGAAGAUAAAUUUUUCGACUAAUUCAUUGCUCUUUACAUGGAACAGAAUUAAAAGUAAAUCUAUUAUUAGAACUUUUCUUCAAUCUCUCUCUCUCUCUCUCUCUCUCUCUCUCUCUCUCUCUCUCUCUCUCUCUCUCUCUAAUCUUCCAAUGCAAACAUUAGACGAGGAUGAUGAAGAUGAGGAUGAGGAUGAGAAGGGAGAUGAAGAUGGCGAAUGUUCAUCUUUAGUUCUAAAUUCGUAACUUGCAACACUAUUUUUAUGUUAAUUAGCUUGAUUGCUUACGAAAGGAAUAACGUACGAAAAUUAAUCUUCUCAUUCCUUUGCCAUCUAAUCUUCAUCUUCAUCCUCAUCCUCAUCCCUUAAUCUUAAUCUUGAUUAUAAUUUUUGUUCUCAUCAUUAACGAUCAUCCUAAUCAACCUCACAAGGUCUUUUGUCUCUCUUCACGUUUUUAAAACAAAUUAGUAAUUUACAGUUGCAUCAUCGUAAUUAUAUUCUAAAUAAUCAAAUGUUACCCUAAUCUUGACAACAGUUAAUUUAGUCAUUAUUGUUAAAUCUUAUUCCAAAUUGCUAUUUUUCCUUCUCCAGAGAUUCAAUUAUAUUAUUCAAUUUAA